rnacentral:rRNA from 1 species
CAGCCGCCACGGGAAUACAGAGGGUGCAAGCGUUAAUCGGAAUUACUGGGCGUAAAGCGCGCGUAGGUGGUUCGCCAAGUUGGAUGUGAAAUCCCCGGGCUCAACCUGGGAACUGCAUCCAAAACUGGCGAGCUAGAGUAUGGUAGAGGGUGGUGGAAUUUCCUGUGUAGCGGUGAAAUGCGUAGAUAUAGGAAGGAACAUCAGUGGCGAAGGCGACCACCUGGACUGAUACUGACACUGAGGUGCGAAAGCGUGGGGAGCAAACAGGAUUAGAUACCCGCGUAGUCCCUGUCUCUUAUAC